rnacentral:rRNA from 1 species
UGGUUUGAUUAUGGCUCAGGACGAACGCUGGCGGCGCGCCUAACACAUGCAAGUCGAACGGGGAUAUGCUGGACAAGGCUUCGGCCGAGGAAGGCAUAUUCGAGUGGCGGACGGGUGAGUAACGCGUGAGCAACCUGCCUUUCAGAGGGGGAUAACGAUUGGAAACGAUCGCUAAUACCGCAUAACAUUAUGGAACCGCAUGGCUUUGUAAUCAAAGGAGCAAUCCGCUGAAAGAUGGGCUCGCGUCCAAUUAGGUAGAUGGCGGGGUAGAGGCCCACCAUGCCGACGAUUGGUAGCCGGACUGAGAGGUUGAACGGCCACAUUGGGACUGAGACACGGCCCAGACUCCUACGGGAGGCAGCAGUGGGGAAUAUUGGGCAAUGGGGGAAACCCUGACCCAGCGACGCCGCGUGAGGGAAGAAGGUUUUCGGAUUGUAAACCUCUGUCCUUGGUGACGAUAAUGACGGUAGCCAAGGAGGAAGCCACGGCUAACUACGUGCCAGCAGCCGCGGUAAUACGUAGGUGGCGAGCGUUGUCCGGAAUUACUGGGUGUAAAGGGAGCGUAGGCGGGAGAGCAAGUCGACUGUGAAAGCUAUGGGCUUAACCCAUAGAUGCGAUCGAAACUGUUCAUCUUGAGUGAAGUAGAGGCAGGCGGAAUUCCUAGUGUAGCGGUGAAAUGCGUAAAUAUUAGGAGGAACACCAGUGGCGAAGGCGGCCUGCUGGGCUUUAACUGACGCUGAGGCUCGAAAGCGUGGGCGGCAAACAGGAUUAGAUACCCUGGUAGUCCGCGCUGUAAACGAUGAUUACUAGGUGUGGGGGGACUGACCCCUUCCGUGCCGGAGUCAACACAAUAAGUAAUCCACCUGGGGAGUACGGCCGCAAGGCUGAAACUCAAAGGAAUUGACGGGGGCCCGCACAAGCAGUGGAGUAUGUGGUUUAAUUCGACGCAACGCGAAGAACCUUACCAGGCCUUGACAUCGCCUGACAAUCCUGGAGACAGGACUUCUCUUCGGAGCAGGCAGACAGGUGGUGCAUGGUUGUCGUCAGCUCGUGUCGUGAGAUGUUGGGUUAAGUCCCGCAACGAGCGCAACCCUUACAGUCAGUUGCUACGCAAGAGCACUCUGGCAGGACUGCCGUUGACAAAACGGAGGAAGGUGGGGAUGACGUCAAAUCAUCAUGCCCCUUAUGGCCUGGGCUACACACGUACUACAAUGGCGCUCAACAGCGAGAAGCAAAGCCGCGAGGCGGAGCGAACCUCGAAAAAGCGUCCCAGUUCAGAUUGCAGGCUGAAACUCGCCUGUAUGAAGUCGGAAUUGCUAGUAAUCGCGGAUCAGCAUGCCGCGGUGAAUACGUUCCCGGGCCUUGUACACACCGCCCGUCACACCAUGAGAGUUGGCAACACCCGAAGUCAGUAGCCUAACCGCAAGGGGGGCGCUGCCGAAGGUGGGGUUGAUGAUUGGGGUGAAGUCGUAACAAGGUAGCC